rnacentral:rRNA from 1 species
UUGACGGGGCCGCACAAGCAGCGGAGCGUUGUGGUUUAAUUCGAUGAUACACGAAGAACCUUACCCAGGCUUGACAUGUUGGUGGUAGGGAUCCGAAAGGUGACCGACCUUCGGGGAGCCUUCACAGGUGCUGCAUGGCUGUCGUCAGCUCGUGUCGUGAGAUGUCCGGUUAAGUCCGGUAACGAGCGCAACCCUCGCUGUGUGUUAUAUGUGUCACACGGGACUGCCGGUAUCAAGCUGGAGGAAGGUGGGAUGACGUCAAGUCAGCAUGGCCUUUAUGUCUGGGGCUACACACACGCUACAAUGGCCAGUACAAUAGGUUGCAAGACCGCGAGGUGGAGCCAAUCCUUAAAGCUGGUCUCAGUUCGGAUUGCAGGCUGCAACUCGCCUGCAUGAAGUCGGAGUUGCUAGUAACCGCGCGUCAGCCAUAGUGCGGUGAAUACGUUCCCGGGCCUU